GAAAAGCACACUGCCUACAGUUAGAGGGACACUCCAGGCACCCAGACCACUUCUACCCAUUGUGGUGGACUGGGGUCCAACUCCCAUCACCCUUAGCCCUGCAAGUGUAAUUAUUGCAGUUUUUAUAAACCGCAAUAAUUACCUUGCAGGGUUAAGUCUUCUAUUGGCUAUCAGACAGCCACUAGACGGACUUCCGGGUUCUUAAAACCCGAAAAGUGUUUUAAACGAUGCUGGUCGUACUCACGCUAUACAUGAGGACCUUCAGCGGCCCCGGAAUCCCCAAUCGGAAGCAUUGAAUAAUGCUUUCCUAUGGGGAGGUCUAAUG